CACGAAGUGACCUAGCCUAGUUCGGAAUUACUCGGCGUAAAGCGCACGCAGGCGGAUUGGUAAGUCAGGGGUGAAAUCACGGGGCUCAACCUCGGAAUUGCCUUUGAUACUGCCAAUCUUGAGUCCGGGAGAGGUGAGUGGAAUUCCUAGUGUAGAGGUGAAAUUCGUAGAUAUUAGGAAGAACACCAGUGGCGAAGGCGGCUCACUGGCCCGGUACUGACGCUCAGGUGCGAAAGCGUGGGGAGCAAACAGG
rnacentral:rRNA from 1 species